rnacentral:rRNA from 1 species
UACGUAGGGGGCGAGCGUUGUCCGGAUUUAUUGGGCGUAAAGAGCUCGUAGGCGGCUUUGUCAGUCGGGUGUGAAACCUCCAGGCUCAACCUGGAGCCGCCACCCGAUACUGCAAUAGCUAGAGUCCGGUAGGGGAGCAUGGAACUCCUGGUGUAGCGGUGAAAUGCGCAGAUAUCAGGAGGAACACCGGUGGCGAAGGCGCACAUCUGGCCCGAUACUGACGCUGAGGCGCGAAAGCUAGGGGAGCAAACGGG